UGUAUUUCUGAGUUAGGUUGGCUUGUUUUCAGAAUUCACAACGAAAUGCCUCCAGCUGUCCAUCACCACUGUAAAUAUAAAGAGUGGUUAUAGAGGGUGAGCGUGUGUGUGUGUGUUUGUGCGAGAGAGAAUCGAAACACACACAGUAACGUGUGUAAAUGAGUUCCGAGAGCAGAUCUGUUAUUCAACGAUUAGUUUCAUAUUAAAAACGGUUAAAUGUUUCUCAAAGAUGCUCUCUGGUGGUCAAAUUAGCUCUAACGCGCGUUAAUGGCAACAAUGUCUGACACUUAAAUCAUAAAUAAUGUGCCAUAGAAUUCUGCGGCAGCCCGCAAGUUGUGUCAUACAUGACCGAUGACAUCACAAUGGUCUUAAAGCAAUUUGAAUAAUGGGUUAAUGAGGAAAUGUAUCAGUCUUCAUUGGUUAUCGACAUGGCUUGUUUCUGCUGGUGCAAAAAGAAAAAACGUCAGAAAGCAAAUUCAGUUGAUGUGGAGCAGAAGACAAGAAAGAAGAAGGAGAGGGGCACUUCAUCCCCCUCUCCAAUUCCAUCUGACCGUUCUGAACGGAAUGGCUCUGCUACCUCUGACCCCUCACCCUCUGACCAACUCUCCUCCCUCCAUCCACCUCCCUCUCCUGUUAAAUGUUCCUCUCAGCCUUGCUCUCCUGCUAAACAACCCUCUGUACCCCAGUCACCUGCCAAAAACCCUUCCCCAGUGAAAUCCUCUCCAGUGGUGUCCCACCCUAGUUCUCCCUCUCCUACCAACCCUCUGGACCGUCAUGGAGACACCAGUCAGGAGGGCACAACAGUCAGACCUCUGUCUCUUCAGGACCACUCCAGUCCAAGGCCCCAGAGACCAGUCUCAGCCACCAGAAGCAUGACUCUUCCCAGGACCAGCUCAGCCACCAGAAGCAUGACUCUUCCCAGGACCAGCUCAGCCACCAGAGGGUCAGAAGAGACCCAGGGGGCCAGAGGAGAAUGGGGGGAACUGGUCAACAUGGAACUUCUUGGGUUGCCUAACAUUGGCAACACUUGCUUCCUUAACGCCACCCUGCAGUGCCUCCUGGUCCUGCCUUCCUUCUCAAAGGAAAUCCUGCACCAGGAACAACUCUGGAGCUCCUCCCCCUUCUCCAACCUGCUCAGGUGUCUGUCUGAUGUGCACCGUUCGGGUUUACCUGACAGUGUGGCAAACCAGGCCUCAAAAGCAGACCUCAUGUGGAAGGUCAAGUACUCCUUGUCGGGAUACGAUUUGAAGUAUCUGGGGGACACGCAACAGGACGCACACGAGUUACUCAUCAAUAUGCUGUGCCAGCUGAAGGAGGAGGGCAUGAUUCUGAAGACACUCGGGAUGAACUAUACCUGCCCUGUUUCCCAGCUGGAGUUCCAGCUUGUGUCGGUGCGCACAUGUACCAGCUGUGGGCGCGAGUCGUCUACCAGAGAGGACUACAACCACCUCUCAUUGGACUUCAGCCCUGAGCGCACCUUGCUGAACAGCCUAGCACUCACUUUCAAAAGUGAACAGGUUGAAUUCACAUGUGAGGGCUGUAAAGGCCUCCACGCCUCAAAGGUGGAGCAGUUCCACACACUGCCUCUUGUGCUGGUUCUGCAUCUGAAGAGGUUUGGAGGACCUGGGGGGUUGGAGAAGCUGGAGGCUCCUCUUUUGUUUCCUUCGGAGCUGAGGCUCUCCACCCUCUGUGGGGACAUGGUGCCACACCUGCACAGUGCCAGCCCACAGGCCCUCACCAACCAGGCCCCCAGCAUCCAGGGGUCCAUCCCCCAGACCCUCGCCAGCCAAGUCUCCAGCCCACCUGGAGUGGCCAAAGACAGCGCCCUCUGCUGUUCAGGUAGGUCAUGGCACCAUAACAAUAUUCUUGCUCCAACACCACACAAACCACCCACUCCCAAAACGGUCCUGCUGACAGAGAAGCUGGAAGCUGCAAUUUAAAAUGUUUCUCAGAUAUCUUUAGUGAUGUAUGGGAGCUGUUUUAGUCCAGAGCAAUUCAGACAAGUGACCACAUUUUCACAGCUCUUGAUAUGUAUAUUUGACCCCUCAGAUUCAAAGGAGCAGGAACUAGGGAAAGUGUUGCUGACAGCCUCAGUGGUGAGAAGAGAGAGAGAGAGUGAAGCCAGUGAAAAAUAAGUUAUGACAGAACACUGAGAUAGUUAUGAGGAGUACACGAUGUAGUAGACCUGUAGUAGACUAGUACUGUAGUAGACUGUAGACAGUGUGGUGGACUGUAGAGGAAAUGAGAAUCCUAUGAUCACAUGUGUUUUCUUACAGAAGCAGAAGCCAGUACAGUCAGUGAAUGGUUACUACCAGCUGACUGGCGUAGUCUCUCAUUUGGGAGGCUCCGCAAACUCCGGGCACUACAUUAGUGACAUAUUGCAUGCCAGUGGAAACUGGUUCUGCUGUAACGACAGCCAGGUGUCAAUGUCCAAUGAAGCCACUGUGCUGAGGACCAGAGCCCGGAGUGCCUACAUGCUCUUCUAUAUGUUCAGGUACUGCUUACUCUCACCAUCUAUA